rnacentral:tRNA from 1 species
GGCCAUAUAGUCAAAGUAAUGACAUUAGACUGCAAUUCUAAGAGUGUGGAUUAUUAUCUACUAAGGCUU